rnacentral:rRNA from 1 species
UACGUAGGAGGCAAGCGUUAUUCGGAUUUACUGGGCGUAAAGAGGGCGCAGGCGGUUUUUCAAGUUGGGUGUAAAAUCUCCCCGCUUAACGGGGAGGGAUCGCCCGAUACUGUUGAGCUAGAGGGCAGCAAAGGGAGGUGGAAUUCCCGGUGUAGUGGUGAAAUACGUAGAUAUCGGGAGGAACACCAGUGGCGAAGGCGGCCUCCUAGGCUGUUUCUGACGCUGAGGCCCGAAAGCGUGGGGAG